rnacentral:rRNA from 1 species
UAGGGAAUAUUGCACAAUGGGCGAAAGCCUGAUGCAGCAACGCCGCGUGUGCGAAGAAGGCCUUCGGGUCGUAAAGCACUUUUCUGGGAGAUGAGAAAGGACAGUAUCCCAGGAAUAAGUCUCGGCUAACUACGUGCCAGCAGCCGCGGUAAAACGUAGGAGGCGAGCGUUAUCCGGAUUCACUGGGCGUAAAGCGCGUGCAGGCGGUUUGGUAAGUUGGGCGUGAAAGCUCCUGGCUCAACUGGGAGAGGUCGUCCAAAACUACCAGACUAGAGAGCGGUAGAGGAAAAUGGAAUUCCCGGUGUAGUGGUGAAAUGCGUGGAUAUCGGGAGGAACACCAGUGGCGAAGGCGAUUUUCUGGACCGUUUCUGACGCUCAGACGCGAAAGCUAGGGUAGCAAACGGGAUUAGAGACCCCGGUAGUCCUAGCUGUAAACGAUGUGAACUUGGCGUUGGUGGCUUAAACACCAUCAGUGCCGUAGCUAACGCGAUAAGUUCACCGCCUGGGGACUACGGCCGCAAGGUUA